rnacentral:lncRNA from 1 species
AGGGAAUGCUGGUUCCCUGGGAGUGUGUAGAAGGGGCCCACAGUGCACAGCCCAGAACUCUGAGGAGGAAGCAGCACCCAGCUGAUGCUUCUCUUGAAGAACUCUAAGGAGGGGCUCUGUGGAGCUAAGGCUUGAAUGCAGCUGGAUUGUUUCAGAUAGAUCUAACAAAGCAUGAUGAAGCUAGUUCCCAGACAGCAAGACUAAGCAAACAACUGGAGAGUGGAAUCAGUUUGCCCUUCCAAAGGGUGAAACAUGAUCGCAGGAGUUAUGCAGACUGGAAGACAAGUAAAUAGAAGCAAAUCCCUUCUGGUCCUCCAUCCAGCCAUAAUGCCAGGAGCGGCUCAUUAUAGCCUAUGGGCCAAAACUCACCUGCCUCCUAUUUUUGUAGUCCGCCAUUUUGCACAGGUCUACCCCAAUUUAGUGCCAUAG